UGAGUAAGUCAGAUGAUCGCGGACACAGCUAUGCUGUGAACGAGGAAAGUCCGAGCUCCAUAGGGUAAGGCGCUGGGUAACACCCAGUGGGGGCGACCCCAAGGAAAGUGCAACAGAGAGAUACCGCCAGAACCAUUGUUCAGUAGAAAUAUUGAGCUUGUGGUGAGAACAGCUUGUAGCUGUCUGGUAAGGCUGGAAAGGUGAGGUAAGAGCUCACCAGAGGCUAGGUGACUAGUCUGCUAUGUAAACCCCGCCUGGAGCAAGACCAAGUAGGAACAAAAAAGCGGCGACCCGUCGUGUUCCGUGGUAGGUUGCUUGAGCCGUCUGGUAACAGCCGGCCUAGAUAGAUGAUCGUCUAACACAGAACUCGGCUUAUAGACUUAGUCACAUA
rnacentral:RNase_P_RNA from 1 species